rnacentral:rRNA from 1 species
CGAAAGCCUGACGGAGCAACGCCGCGUGAGGGAUGAAGGCCUCUGGGCUGUAAACCUCUUUUCUCAAGGAAGAAGAUCUGACGGUACUUGAUGAAUAAGCCACGGCUAAUUCCGUGCCAGCAGCCGCGGUAAUACGGGAGUGGCAAGCGUUAUCCGGAAUUAUUGGGCGUAAAGCGUCCGCAGGUGGCUCUGUAAGUCUGUCGUUAAAGCGUGGAGCUUAACUCCAUUUCGGCGGUGGAAACUGCAGGACUUGAGUGUGGUAGGGGCAGAGGGAAUUCCCGGUGUAGCGGUGAAAUGCGUAGAUAUCGGGAAGAACACCAGUGGCGAAAGCGCUCUGCUGGGCCAUAACUGACGCUCAUGGACGAAAGCCAGGGGAGCG